rnacentral:lncRNA from 1 species
CAAAAACAGGCAUGAAACAAAAUAAACACUGUAAAAUGUUUGCAGGGAGAGAGGUUCUUUGAAGAGAGUGAAAGACAAGCUGCGGACUGGGAGACAAUGUGGGCCAGUGAGGCAGCUCAGUGGAUGAGAGUGCUUGCCUAACUGCCCAGCUGGAUUGCCAGCCCGACAAGGUCAACUCCAGGUCAACUAGAUCCUGGUCUUCUGUUUCGCUCUGCGAAGGCUGCAGCAAUGGAGCUGUGCUGUCUGUAAGUAACUACCACCACAUGCCAGGAGCUCAGACAAUAGACACUGCUCACAUUUCUGAAGGCUUCGAUCAAGGCCUUGGUAGAUUUGAUGUGUAUUUUGUGUUUGUUUGUUUAAGACAGGGUCUCACCAAGUAGCCCCGGCUGCCUGAAACUCACUUUGCAGACCAGACUGGCCUUGAACUCAUGGAGUUCUGCUUGCCUCUAUCUCCCAAGCACUGGGACUGAAGGGUUUUACUUUGCACCUAAACUCAAGACUGAAUUCAAACUUACAAGAAUUCUCCUGCCUGAGUUUUGCAAGUGCUGAGAUUACGCUGUGCCCAACUACUAAAAAAAUUCUUGCUGGACAGAUGGCUGGAGAAUGCAGCUGCAGGGGAACAGGACAAAAUGCUAUAUGGCCUUGUUCAUCUCUGUACAGUCCACGCAGGGAAAGGCUAGGUUCCUACAGGAAUCUUGCUAGAACAGUUUUCCCUUGAACAUGGCUUGAUGGGCAGCCUGAGGAGAAGCCACCAUGAGGCAGUAUCUCACUAGCCUUGCUGGCUCUGAUGAGACUCGGGCCUUGCUUUCUUGACACACUUAGAGCGGAACAGCAGGCUUCUGUGUAAGGCUAUUAUAAAAACUGCAUGGCUGUGACUCACAGUUGGCCCCUGUGACAGAACUACCCACCCACCUGUGUUGUCUGUCACCUGGCCCCCUCAGUUCAUUUUUACCGUGUGGUACAGGAUGUGGAGCUGACACUCAUCUA